AAAAAACCUUUUUACAGCGGAAGAACUGGUUGUCUCGAUAUUUCGUCGUUAAUGAGGACGGUAUACAAUACUUCACUUCUGAUCAGUCAAUAGAAGCAUUGAGAGUGAUUCCGAGUACUGACGUGCGAGGAGUUCAGGAAAUACCGGGGUCGCAGUUUGGUCGCGAGAAUGUGUUUGAAAUCCAUACAUGUUGCAGAACAUUUUAUUUACAGUGUGAGAGCCAUGACGACCUAAGGGAAUGGGUAUCAGCCGUCAGAAGACUUCUACCUCAUCCCGUAAGUAAAUGUUACAUGUAAUCUUAAAUUGUAAAUGUGGCAAUAAUACCAUUGCUCGUUGGUUAGAAG